UGGAACCAAAGUUUUAAUCAAAGAAGGUGGUGUUCAGUUGCUGCUUACAAUAGUUGAUACCCCAGGAUUUGGAGAUGCAGUGGAUAACAGUAAUUGCUGGCAGCCUGUUAUCAAUUACAUUGAUAUUAAAUUUGAGGACUACCUAAAUGCAGAAUCGCGAGUGAACAGAUGUCAGAUGCCUGGUAACAGGGUGCAGUGUUGUUUAUACUUCAUUGCUCCUUCAGGACAUGGACUCCCACCUUCAGGCAGGAUUGGGUAGUACGUGUUUGUAACUACCUGGCAUUGCCUUUUGUUGAGGAAGGGUAGAUGUCUACCCAAAUGGAAUAUUGAGUAUCAGAGACUUCAAAUGAUAACUUUUGUUUGUUUGGAGAAAAUCUUGAGGACGUGAUCACUGUACAAAAGCAUGGCAAAAUGAGGAAACCACUGACAGGUGAAGAAUUUGCACAAUGGAAAACCACCUUGACCAUCUCAUGACUUUAUACAGGAAUCGGAGACAUCCAAGGCCAUUCCAUUUCUAAAUCACACUUAUCCCUCAAUCAAGUCAGUGACUGGAUCAUCUCCUAAGGUUUCACCUGCUUUGCAUCAGGUAGGUGAGAUGAAAGUGAUUUUAUGGGUAGCUUUCAGAAAAAUGUACUGCACUGAAGUGACAAAGUUCUGUCUUGCCUGUUCUCUCACAAAACAGCAUAUCAAUUAAAUAAUGUUUUCUUUACAAUACAGUUUCAUAGGACUUUCCAUUUGUUUCAGAGUGCCUUAACUUUUUAAAAAAAGACACUGUUAACAAAUACAAUUAUUUCUCUUAAAAUCCACUCAGCCAGCAUUUUUCACUAUCCUAUAAAGGCUUUAAAUGUCACAGAAUGUAUGAUAAUUUGCUCCUAACCUACUUUUGAAAAAGGAAAGAUUCCAAACAUUCUUGAAAAAAUGGUAAUUCAGAAAACACAAAAACCAAUUAUUUAAAAUAAUCCCCAAGCAAAAAAACCUCAGUGCAAGAAUACUGCAUACACUUUGCAGUACACGAAAUAUCACAAACAAUGCUUUUAUCAAUGUGCUAACAGUGGAUGUUGUUGAUCCUUUCAGUUCAGUAGCAUAAAACAAAUAUACAAAAAAUAUGUAAUAGUCCUCUAAAAACAUUCAUGCUAUACUCUCAAAAGUUGUGCAAAAAUAAAAAUACAGCAGUGGCAAAGUAUAUACCAAAUACAGACACUAUACAGACAGUGUGUAAGAAACUAGGCAUAUUGCAGAACACACCAUCUCUGUAAACUUCAACUCUGCAUGAAAUAGGCCACUCAGUUCCGCUUGGCCUGGCCGCUUUCCCCAUUAAUCAGCAUCUUCUCCUGCUGUUCUGCAAGGGCCUGCCAUUUCUGCCUGUUCUUUCUGCAGCCAUCUAGCAAAGGGAAACAGUCCUCUGACACGUGGGUCAGGGCCUAAAGAGAAAAAAGAAAGCAAACAGCUAGAGAGAAGCCAGGAAAUAAGUCCUCUCCCACAGGCCUGUUACAAAGGGCCACAUCCCACACUCAUUUCAUAAGCAGACUCACUGUUGAAAUUUUCACAAGCUUUGUGAGCACAUACACAGAUCAUUUACACAUGAUUCUUCUAAAACACUACAGAUAAGGAGUACAUGCUGAGGGACAGAGCAAACACACACAUUCCAAAAUAACAUUACUGUGCUAGGGAGACAGAUCUGUGUGGAAUCCACUUUUAGGGGAAA
rnacentral:lncRNA from 1 species